rnacentral:ncRNA from 1 species
CAAAGACUUGGUCCUAAUCUUACUGUCAGCUAUGACUAAGCUUACACAUGCAAGUAUCCGCACCCCCGUGAGAAUGCCCAUAGCCCCCUGCUCUGGGGGCAAGGAGCUGGUAUCAGGCACUUUAUUAUUAAUAGCCCAUGACGCCUUGCUUAGCCACGCCCUCAAGGGUAUACAGCAGUGAUUAACAUUAAGCCAUAAGCGAAAGCUUGACUUAGUGAAAGCCAACACAGAGCCGGUAAAACUCGUGCCAGCCACCGCGGUUAAACGUUUGAGGCUCGAGCUGACAGUUCCCGGCGUAAAGGGUGGUUAAUUUAUUCCUGAAACUAAAGCCGAAGCCCUGCCCAGCAGUGGUAGUGCUCAUGCAGGUCUUAAGCUCAUCUACGAAAGUGGCUUUAUACCCCUGAAUCCACGAAAACUAGGGAACAAACUGGGAUUAGAUACCCCACUAUGCCUAGUCGUAAACCUAGAUAGAACUUUACACAUAUCUAUCCGCCUGGGUACUACGAGCGCCAGCUUAAAACCCAAAGGACUUGGCGGCGCUUUACAUCCACCUAGAGGAGCCUGUUCUAGAACCGAUAAUCCCCGUUCAACCUCACCUUCUCUUGUCCCAUCCAGCCUAUAUACCGCCGUCGUCAGCCUACCCUAUGAAGGCCCCCACAGUAGGCAGAAAUGGCAAAGCCCAAAACGUCAGGUCGAGGUGUAGCGAAUGAGAAGGGAAGAAAUGGGCUACAAUUGCUCUUACAGCUAACACGGAUUGCUUUGGCGCUGAAACGCGCCCAUGAAGGAGGAUUUAGAAGUAAGGGGGAAGUAGAGUGUCCCCCUGAAACGGUACUAAAGCGUGCACACACCGCCCGUCGCCCUCCCCGAAUAGUAACUUGAAUUUAACUUAUAAACACUUUAAAUCUAUACAAAGGGGAGGCAAGUCGUAACAAGGUAAGUGUACCGGAAGGUGCACUUGGAAUACA